GGUUAACGCUGGCGGCGUGCCUUACACAUGCAAGUCGAACGGGGCUAUCGGCGAUGGUAGCUUAGUGGCGAACGGGUGAGGAAGACGCAGGGACCUACCGACCAGAGGGGGAUACCCGCUGGAAACGGCGGAUAAAACCGCAUACGCCCGGGUGAAAGCCCGGGGAAAAGCACUACGGUGUUACUGGACGAGGGACCUGCGGCCCAUCAGGUAGUUGGGGAGGUAACGGCUCACCAAGCCGACGACGGGUAUCUGGCGUGAGAGCGCGAACAGGCACAAGGACACUGAGAGACGGGUCCUACUCCUACGGGAGGCAGCAGUGGGGAAUAUUGGACAAUGGGCGAAAGCCUGAUCCAGCGACGCCGCGUGUCGGAAGGAGUCCUC
rnacentral:rRNA from 1 species